GUGUUGGAAAGGGUAUGUUGUGUGUAACUAAGAUAAAGAGUAUUUUGAUAAGAUACCUGUAUAUGUAAUUUAUUGUAGGUUUUCUUUUGUUAUUCCUAAGAAUUUGUAUAUACAAGACCUCAUUAUUCAGUAAUAACAACAUUGAUUCAUUCUUCCACAUGUUAUCAGAGUUCUAAGAAAAAACACCAUAACUUUUUUUGUAAACACUAAUCAGUCUUAAUUGCCAAAAUUAAAGGAAAAAAAAAAGACAAACAAACAGAACUCCAAUGGGGGCAGCUUUAAUUGCUUGCCACCACCACAGCAGCCACAGGCCUUCACAGCCAGUCACCACCCAAAAACCUCAAUCGCCAGCCUUCAUAGCCGGGAAACCAGCCAAGCGCAGCCCCUAUUUAGCCCCUGCUCAGCUGUGCAACCCAGCUGAGCACAGCCCCUGCUCAGUACUUGUCCAGACUGCCGGAGAUGCUUUUGCUCUGUCCAGCUGUGCAAACACCUUAGCUGUGCAACCUCACUAGCCAGGUUCCCUCCAGCAGCUUGCAGCAGGACCUGCAGCUGCAUGUCUAUCUGCUCUAAUCAGCCACACAAAACCACGCAUUAGUAUGCCCUGCAAUGCUGCAUAGCCUUUGCCUCUGCCAUGUGUUAAUUGCACCAAUCAGCCUUCAUAUCAGCCUUUAUUGCCAGCAGUACACACAAAUGCAUGGUCUACCAACCUGACUUCUUCGCCACAUCGGAAGCCACAUAACAAACUAUUGACGCUACCCCUAAUAUGAGAAGUUUACAGAACAUUCAGGCCAUAUACCACCUGAAUGGAAAACACUAUCUCAAACACUCCCAAUUGAUUUGCAGAAUGCUUAAGAGAAAAGGAAAAAUCAGCUGUAUUGUGGGCACCCGACCAAAACUGAGAGACCCACAAUUCAAUGCUAGUAGAGGUAAUGUAUGUUCUCACCCACUAAAAAAGAAGAUAUGGGAAGUAGUCAGGAGAACUUACUCCAAAAUUAAAGAUGCAUUCUAAUCUAUGUUUUAAUAAGAAAGACCUAGUCUACAAAGUAAGGAAGUCGAUCAGUGACGAAAUAUGCCAGUCUCUGAAAGGCUGGUGGUAGGAAGUAUAUUAAUAUCACUUUUCAAUACGUAGUGCGGAAAAGAUGCUGCAAUCUUAGAGAACUUUGUGGAUAAGGAUAGAGCUUACCAAUUUCUGACUGGUCUUAAUGCAAAAUUUGAGCAGAUGCGAAUCCAAAUAUUAGGAAAAGAAGAAAUACCACCUCCAAACAAAGUGAUUUCCAUCAUUUUGGUGGAAGAGAGCAGGAGAAGGAUCAUGUUCAAAUCCGGCUUUACUGAAAGCUCAGCUAUGGUAACUAAGGCUGAACCAUGCUGACAGGCAAAACAGUCCUGUCAAUUCAAGACACUAAUAAUAGGUGGAGGUAGUAGAGACAAUUUAUGGUGUACUUUUGUAUAAAAAACUCAAACACACAAGUAAUGUUGGAAACUUCAUGGUAAGCCAAGUAUCCUCAAUAGAGAUUGGAGAUAUAAAAAUAUACUACAAAAGCCCCACAGACAAGAACAUAUGGUCAAUUGACAAUGGGAGGAGAAGAAGUCUAAUCUCAAUGAGUUCAAAACAAAAAUUGUACGCUAAGGACUCUGAUUGAGUCUUUGGAGAAACCCACAAGUAUAGGUUUAUUGGCACACUUAGGUAGUUUUCUAUCUCGUAUGGACUAAAUGUUUCAGAUAAACUCUUUGCACUAUCCUAUAUCAAGGGCUCAGAAGUCACCGAUCACGUGGCCAAUUCGUCUAAACCCUUACAUUUGUGUUCCAUGUCCAAUCAAUAAGAAGAUAGUUAUUGUUGAUGGUUAAUUUGACCAAUGUAGCAGGUGUUAGAAGUAUUAAAAUAAGUUCCUAUUUUACACUUAUGCAUGGGUUUCAUGUUCCCAAAUUGUGUACAAAGCUUAUUUUAC
rnacentral:lncRNA from 1 species